rnacentral:rRNA from 1 species
GAAUAUUCCGCAAUGCACGAAAGUGUGACGGAGCAAUGCCGCGUGCAGGAUGAAGCGGCUUCGCCGUGUAAACUGCUGUCAGGGGCUAGAAACACUGAUCAGCCCCAAAGGAAGAGCCGGCUAACCCUGUGCCAGCAGCCGCGAUAAUACAGGGGGCUCAAGCGUUAAUCGGAAUCACUGGGCUUAAAGGGUGCGCAGGCGGAUGCGCAAGCGUCUCGUGAAAUCCCUCGGCUCAACCGGGGAAUUGCGGGGCGAACUGCGUGUCUUGAGGCAGAUAGAGGCCGUCGGAACGCUAGGUGGAGCGGUGAAAUGCGUAGAGAUCUAGCGGAACGCCAAAGGUGAAGACAGGCGGCUGGGUCUGUCCUGACGCUCAGGCACGAAAGCGUGGGGAGCAAACGGG